rnacentral:rRNA from 1 species
UACGUAUGUCGCGAGCGUUAUCCGGAAUUAUUGGGCAUAAAGGGCAUCUAGGCGGCCUAACAAGUCAGGGGUGAAAACCUGCGGCUCAACCGCAGGCUUGCCUUUGAAACUGUAAGGCUGGAGUAUCGGAGAGGUGGACGGAACUGCACGAGUAGAGGUGAAAUUCGUAGAUAUGUGCAGGAAUGCCGAUGAUGAAGAUAGUUCACUGGACGAUAACUGACGCUGAAGUGCGAAAGCCGGGGGAGCAAACAGG